rnacentral:rRNA from 1 species
UACGAAGGGAGCGAGCGUUGUUCGGAAUCACUGGGCUUAAAGCGUGCGUAGGCGGAUGUGUAAGUAAGAAGUGAAAUCCCAGGGCUUAACCCUGGAACUGCUUUUUAGACUGCACGUCUGGAAUUCGGUAGAGGCUAGUGGAACUCCUAGUGUAGAGGUGAAAUUCGCAGAUAUUAGGAAGAACACCGGUGGCGAAGGCGACUAGCUGGACCGACAUUGACGCUGAGGCACGAAAGCGUGGGUAGCAAACAGG